GACAGAGGAUGCAAGCGUUAUCCGGAAUGAUUGGGCGUAAAGCGUCUGUAGGUGGCUUUUUAAGUCUGCCGUCAAAUCCCAGGGCUUAACCCUGGGCAGGCGGUGGAAACUACCAAGCUGGAGUACGGUAGGGGCAGAGGGAAUUUCCGGUGGAGCGGUGAAAUGCGUAGAGAUCGGAAAGAACACCAACGGCGAAGGCACUCUGCUGGGCCGACACUGACACUGAGAGACGAAAGCUAGGGGAGCAGAUGGG
rnacentral:rRNA from 1 species